rnacentral:rRNA from 1 species
GAGCACUACGAGCCACAGCUUAAAACUCAAAGGACUUGGCGGUGCCCCACACCCCCCUAGAGGAGCCUGUUCUAUAAUUGAUACUCCCCAAUAAACCUCACCACCCCUUGAAAUACAGCCUAUAUACCACCGUCAUAAGCCUACCCCACAAAGGAAUAACAGUGAGCUAAAUAAUUUUAAAUAAAAAAGUCAGGUCAAGGUGUAGCAAAUGAGGUGGGAAGAAAUGGGCUACAUUUUCUAAAUAGAAAAUACGAAAUACUUUAUGAAAUACAGUAUGAAGGAGGAUUUAGCAGUAAAAAGAAAAAAGAGAGUUCUUUUAAAGCCGGCAAUGGAGCAAGCACACACCGCCCGUCACCCUCUUAUAUAUAAAUAUACUAAAUAAAAACCUUAUUAUAAAGAAGAGGAAAGUCGUAACAUGGUAAGUCUACUCGGAAGGUGGCCUUGGAA